rnacentral:rRNA from 1 species
UUGAACGCUGGCGGCAUGCCUUACACAUGCAAGUCGAACGGCAGCACGGGGGCAACCCUGGUGGCGAGUGGCGAACGGGUGAGUAAUGUAUCGGAACGUGCCCAAUAGUGGGGGAUAGCUCGGCGAAAGCCGGAUUAAUACCGCAUACGCACUAAGGUGGAAAGUGGGGGAUCGCAAGACCUCAUGCUAUUGGAGCGGCCGAUAUCUGAUUAGCUUGUUGGUGGGGUAAAAGCCCACCAAGGCGACGAUCAGUAACUGGUCUGAGAGGACGACCAGUCACACUGGGACUGAGACACGGCCCAGACUCCUACGGGAGGCAGCAGUGGGGAAUUUUGGACAAUGGGCGAAAGCCUGAUCCAGCAAUGCCGCGUGUGUGAAGAAGGCCUUCGGGUUGUAAAGCACUUUUGUCCGGAAAGAAAUCGCUUUGGUUAAUACCUGAAGUGGAUGACGGUACCGGAAGAAUAAGCACCGGCUAACUACGUGC